UGACGCAAGGGAACAUCUUUGACCAGAGAUCUGCGUGCCAGAUUCCCCUCCCUGCUAGACACGGAUCCACUCCUCGCCGUUCUGGAUUGCCUUCUGCGCUUACCAGUGCUCCCUCCGCUGCUCGCAGUCGCCUCUUCCUCGGCUAGGCGCGGCUCCAGUGCUCUCGUCUCAGUCGAAUCGUCGCGCGUCGAUCCGGCCGUCGACAGCAGGAUGCGUGUGAUGCAAGAAGAGAAGACUUUGUAAGGAGAAAGCUCUUUCCAACCAUUCCUCAACUUUUUCAGUCCUUCCGCUCAUGAAUUGCAGGGGUAGCUGAAGUUCGAUGCUCAGUUUCUGUUUCUAUUGCCUUCUGCUGGAUGCUAGCUUGUACGAAAAGAGAUCCUUCUGGUAAUGUAAAAUUCACAUGGGUACAUACUGCUCUCUCCUUGUACAUCAAUAUGAUCAGUGGCUUAUCAAUUGACCCAUGUUCAGGUGUCGCAGCUUAAUAUGUGGGUUCUCUCCUGUUGAUUAGCUGAUUGUCAACAUUCUAUCCAUUGAUUUCUCCAUUUCAUUUUCUUGGGCUUGUUGAGAACUCGAUAUAUUAAAGUAAUGAUGGGCCGAUGAUCAUCAUUAGGAAUUGGUUCUGCAACAUGGUUACAAUGGACCUUAUCAUAUCGAUCCUUUUAGCUUGCUGGAAGGUAGAUCUGCAAGUCUUCAAGUCUGCUACCCUUGCAAAUAAAUCACUUGGAAUUUUUUGAGGACCUUCCUCUGAAGUUUGGCUAAUGGCAACCAUAUUACAUUCUCUGGUUUUAUCAUGUGCUAAGAAGUUGCAAGAUAUCGUAGCAGAGGAGGCGAUUCUUAUUCUAGGGGUAAAAGGAGAGCUUAGAGAACUGCUGAGAACAAUGAACCAGAUACAAUGCUUUCUUAAUGAUGCUGAGCAGAGGAGGACAGAAGAGUCAGCAGUUAACAAUUGGCUCGCUGAGCUGAAAGAUUCUAUAUAUGAAGCUGAUGAUAUUAUUGACAUGGCCAAAAUUGAGGGAAGCAAAGCUGCUAGCAAACUAUCCUUCAUCAACAUCCUCAUCACCAGGAGACUCGAUUGGGUGUACAAGAUUCUCAGUUUUCUCUUGCAUUCCUACUAUUCAGAGACGCCGUGGGAUUGCUAUUCGAAUAAAAAGUUUCAAUGCAGAACUUGAGAAGAUUACAAAGCUAGGUGAAAGAUUUUUAAAGCUUCAGAAUAUGCAGACUAAAGAGGAUGUUUCAGUAGUGAGGAAGAUGAAAACAUGCCAAAUUUUGGAGCCUAACCUUGUGGGGAAGGAAACAUCACGUGCCAGCAAAAGAAUUUUGGAACUGGUGCUUGCACACAAGAAAAAGAAAAGCUAUAAGUUUGGUAUUCUUGGAACUGGAGGGGUUGGUAAAACAACUUUGGCUCAAAAAAUCUAUAAUGAUGAAAAGAUAAAAGGAACCUUUAGAAAACAAGCUUGGAUUUGUGUUUCUCAGAAGUAUUCUGAAGUUGCUUUAUUAAAGGAAGUUCUCCGAAACAUUGGGGUGAAUUAUGAUCAAGAUGAGACUGUGGGUGAACUCAGUGCAAAGCUGGCAAUGGAAAUUGAAAACAAAAGUUUCUUUCUUGUGUUGGAUGACAUAUGGCAGCAUGGUGUAUGGACUAAUCUACUUAGAAUUCUAUUACACACUGCAUCUACUACAGUAAUUUUGUUGACAACUAGAAAUGAUACAGUUGCACAAGCAAUUGGGGUGGAUGAUGUGCAUCGAAUUGAAUUGAUGUCAGCAGAUGUGGGAUGGGAGCUUCUAUGGAAGAGUAUGAACAUUAGUGAACCGAUCGAACUGCAAACCCUACAAGGUAUAGGGAUGGAGAUCGUUCAUAUGUGUGGUGGUCUUCCUCUCGCAAUCAAAGUUAUUGCUAGUGUUCUAGCAACUAAAGAGCGAACUGAGAGCGAAUGGAGAAAGGUUAUAAAUAGAAGUGCUUGGUCCAUGGGCAAACUUCCUAUCGAGCUUAGAGGAGCUUUGUAUGUGAGCUAUGAUGAGCUACCAAGGUGUUUGAAGCAAUGUUUCCUCUAUUGCGCAUUGUAUCCAGAAAAUAUGAUAAUGCAUCGUGAUGAUCUUGUCAGGUUUUGGGUUGCUGAAGGUUUUGUAGAAGAGGAAGAAGAACAACUUCUAGAAGAUACAGCUGAAGAAUAUUACUAUGAGUUGAUAUAUAGAAAUCUCCUUCAACCAGUCCCUAUAUGUUUUGACUACUCUUUCUGCAAAAUGCAUGAUCUUCUGAGGCAACUUGCUGGACAUUUAUCAGGAGAAGAAUGUUUUUGUGGAGAUAUACUAUCAUUUAGUGCUAAACCUUUGUCCAAGCUGCGACGAGUUUCAAUUGCCAGUGACAAGAAUUCUUUAAGUUUCCCUAAUGUGGACAGGGACCAUAUUAGAGUAAGGACAUUAAACAUCCGUUUUGCUAAGUCACCUGGAUCUGAGAACACAAUAUUUGGAAGAUUUUCACACCUUCGCGUGUUAAAUUUGACUGGCUCACUAAUACAAUUUAUUCCAAAUUCUAUUGGAAAUAUGGUACACUUACGGUCACUAGAUCUUGAUUUGACUGGCAUAUCUUAUCUUCCAGAGUCCAUCAGUUCUCUAAUAAAUCUUCAAAUAUUGAACCUGGAAGGUUGUUAUUCUUUGAGAAGCCUUCCUUUGGGAAUUACUCAAUUAUGCAACUUAAGACGCAUCGGUCUCCGUGACACACCAAUAAAUCGGGUUCCAAAAGGGAUAGGACUAUUGAAAAAUCUGAAUGAUUUAGAAGGAUUUCCGAUUGGUAAUAGUAGUGGUAAUUCAAGAAUGCAGGAUGGAUGGAAUUUGGAUGAGUUGGAUUCUCUUUUGCAGUUGAGGCGUCUUGAUAUGAUUAAAUUGGAAAAGGCAGCUCAUUGUGGUGUUGAAUCUUUCCUAAAAAAUAAAAAGCAUCUCAAAGUUUUGCGUCUAUGGUGCACUGAGUUUUCAUAUGAACACUAUCAUGAAGAGGAUAUUAGUAGGAUUGAGAAUAUAUUUGAGCAGCUGAUCCUUCCGCAGAACUUGGAAGAGCUAGUAUUUGGGGGAUUCUUUGGUCGGAAAUUUCCCACUUGGCUUGAUGGUGCUCACUUAUCUUCAGUGAAACACUUAAGCCUCGUUAAUUGCAGAUCCUGUCUAUACCUUCCUCCUAUCGGGCAGCUACCUAAUUUGAAGUAUUUGGAAAUUAUGGGGGCAAGCAUGGUUACCAAGAUUGGACCUGAAUUUGUUAGAUACACAGUGGGUAAUCCAUCCUCUUCAGAGGCAAUUGCAUUCCCGAAGCUUGAAUCGCUACUCAUGCGACAGAUGCCCAAUUUAGAGGAGUGGUCAUUCAUCGAAAAAGAAGAAAAUUCAGCAGUAAAUGAGGAAGGCGUUGGUGGUGGACCUCCUGAAAACCGAAGGUAUGAAACACCUGAGAAGGAAAAGGGGGAAGCUCCAUUUCGAAUGAUGGGGCUACUUCCUAGUUUGAAGAACUUGUAUAUUGAUGACUGUCCAAAUCUGCGAGCUCUCCCACAACAGCUUGGACAGCAUGCCACCAGCUUGAAGGAGCUCCAACUGAGAUAUGUGGGGAGCCUUAUGGUGGUGGAGAAUUUCCCGUUCCUCUCACAGAUCCUUGUAAUUGAAGGAUGUGAACGCCUAGAGCGGGUAUCAAAUCUUCCCCAAGUGAGACGACUGCGUGCACAUGACUGUCCAGAUUUAAGAUGUGUGGAGAAGUUGGACAACUUGCAGCAGUUGUGGCUUGACGAGGAUAUGCAAGAGAUCUCCUCACUAUGGGUGCCUAGGCUUGCGCAGCAGUGCCGACAACUUCACUGCGAAGACCUGGAUAUCUCCACUUGGACAAGGGGAUAAUCCAUUGAUGCCUUAUUAGAUGGCUAUAAGACAUUGGGCAUCAGCAUUGGCUAGAUAUUUAUUUUCUUACAUCUUUUUUGGACCAUUUUUUUGAAGUGUUCAGUUUGUACCCUGUUUUGACAUAUGUCAUAGAGUAGUUAUAGUUACUCUUCAUGAAGAGUACUCCGCCUGGAUGAUGGAACUGACUAGAGAUUUACUACACAUUUAAUUUCCUGAUGGGAAAAGUAUCUUCCAUGAA